AUUGAACGCUGGCGGAAUGCUUUACACAUGCAAGUCGAACGGCAGCACGGGUGCUUGCACCUGGUGGCGAGUGGCGAACGGGUGAGUAAUGCACCGGAACGUAUCCAAUAAUGGGGGGAUAACGCACCGAAAGGUGUGCUAAUACCGCAUACGCCCUGAGGGGGAAAGCGGGGGAUCGUAAGACCUCGCGUUAAUGGAGCGGCCGAUGCCGGAUUAGCUAGUUGGUGAGGUAAAGGCUCACCAAGGCGACGAUCCGUAGCUGGUCUGAGAGGACGACCAGCCACACUGGAACUGAGACACGGUCCAGACUCCUACGGGAGGCAGCAGUGGGGAAUUUUGGACAAUGGGCGCAAGCCUGAUCCAGCCAUUCCGCGUGAGUGAAGAAGGCCUUCGGUUGUAAG
rnacentral:rRNA from 1 species